GACAGAGGCCUCAAGCGUUAGGCGGAAUCACUGGGCUUAAAGCGUGUGUAGGCGGAUCGUUAAGUACCUUGUGAAAUCCCACGGCUCACCCGUGGAACUGCUUGGUAUACUGGUCGUCUUGAGCCUUCUAGGGGCGAGUGGAACAAAUGGUGGAGCGGUGAAAUGCGUAGAUAUCAUUUGGAACGCCAAUGGUGAAAACAACUCGCUGGGGAAGUGCUGACGCUGAGACACGAAAGCCAGGGGAGCGAACGGG
rnacentral:rRNA from 1 species